rnacentral:rRNA from 1 species
GAUGAACGCUGGCGGCGUGCCUAAUACAUGCAAGUCGAGCGAAGCGGGGACGGGUGAGUAACACGUGGAUAACCUCAUAUAAGACUGGGAUAAAUUCGGGAAACCGGAGCUAAAACGGGUACAUAUAGAUGGAUCCGCGCUGCAUUAGCUAGUUGGUAAGGUAACGGCUUACCAAGGCAACGAUGGAUAGCCGACAUUAGAGGGUGAUCGGCCACACUGGAACUUAGACACGGUCCAGAUCCCUACGGGAGGCAGCAUUAGGGAAUCUUCCGCAAUGGGCGAAAGCCUUACGGAGCAACGCCGCGGGAGUGAUGAAGGUCUUCGGAUCGUAAAACUCUGUUAUUAGGGAAGCGGUACCUAAUCAGAAAGCCACGGCUAACUACGUGCCAGCAGCCGCGGUAAUAC